GGCGUUUGUCAGUCUAUUUUUCUCACGUUGUGAAUUUGAAUUUACCCGACUUCUCGUCAGCUAUUCGUUUGAAUAUUUGCAUUAUCUUACCCACGACUGAUCUGAACUGUGGCGUGAGCUGGGCAUGAGCCCAAUUGAUCCUGAUUUUUUAUUCCCUCGUGGGAUUUCGGUUGUAAGAAGUAUUAUUCCCAUUGAUCUCAGUUGAGACCCAUUAGUCGACCUGACAUACUCACCCAAGAUUGAGUUAACCUCAGGUAAAGCCGUAAACUCUAUUCCCCUACCUCAUGUUUCUAACAUGUUCUUUGUUUCUCAGAAUUG